rnacentral:rRNA from 1 species
AUUUAAUAGUUAAAACUUUCAACAACGGAUCUCUUGGUUCUGGCAUCGAUGAAGAACGCAGCGAAAUGCGAUAAGUAAUGUGAAUUGCAGAAUUUAGUGAAUCAUCGAAUCUUUGAACGCACAUUGCGCCCAUUGGUAUUCCGAUGGGCAUGCACGUUCGAGCGUCAUUA